rnacentral:lncRNA from 1 species
AGAAAUAGGCUUAGAGAAAAUAAAUAGAGAAAGUGGAAAAAUGGAACCCGAGAUGCUGAGGCGUAGUAUGUUGGUCACUUUCCUUGAAGUAGAUUUCGCCGCCUUACAGUGCACUAGGCUUGGAUGGCGUUCUACUCCUGAGAUACAACAGCCUCUCGCACUGUUCCUUCUGCCUCAAUGAUUUGCACGAAUCAAAGAAGCCUUCGAACCCAGAAU